CCUACGGGAGGCAGCAGUAGGGAAUAUUGCUCAAUGGGCGAGACCCUGAAGCAGCAACGCCGCGUGGAGGAUGAAGGUUUUCGGAUUGUAAACUCCCUUUGAUAGAGAAGAUAAUGACGGUAUCUAACGAAUAAUCAACGGCUAACUCCGUGCCAGCAGCCGCGGUAAUACGGAGGAUGCAAGCGUUAUACGGAAGCACUGGGCGUAAAGGGCGCGUAGGCGGGUUAGAAAGUCAGUGGUGAAAUCUUUCGGCUUAACCAUAGAACUGGAUUUGAAACUGGUAUUCUAGAGUAUAGGAGAGGUAGGUGGAAUUCGUGGUGUAGCGGUGAAAUGCGUAGAGAUCAAGAAGAAUACUGAUUGCGAAGGCAGCCUGCUAGACUAUCACUGACGCUGAUGCGCGAAAGUGUGGGUAGCAAACAGGAUUAGAUACCCUGGUAGUC
rnacentral:rRNA from 1 species